rnacentral:lncRNA from 1 species
AUGGAGGUUCCCAGGCUAGGGGUCAAAUCAGAGCUGUAGCUACUGGCCUACACUACAGCCAUAGCAACACCAGAUCCAAGCUGCAUCUGCUACCUACACCACAGCUCAUGGCAACGCCAGAUCCCCAACCCACUGAGCGAAGCCAUGGAUCAAACCCGCAACCUCUUGGGUACUGAACAAAGAAGAAAAUAAGAUAAACAACAGCACUACAAGCUCUUACUGAUCUCCUCAGCCAGGCCCUCCACACUGAUCAGCGAUCUUUCAUUAGCCCAAGACAGGGCUGUGCCCUCUUCCCCACUAACUUUCCCUUCUCUCCUCAAGACCACGCCUCACUUCUCUCUGGGGAUGGCCCAGCCUCUUUCUUCAUGAAAACAUAACCUGCCUUAACAUAGCCCCUGCUUUCAUCUGCUCCCCUAGGACCUCAGCCCCGUGAUUUUUCUGGACAUCCCCAUGGAGUGUCUGCUUCAUACAGAGAGAUGCAGAGCCCAAAAGAAGCCAAAAAGCACCUCGAUAUGCAUCUUCUGAGCAUCUCCAGGUGUUCCAUGAAUCCCUUUGGUCCCAAAGCCUCUGUCAUUGCAGUGUCAAGAGCCAAAGUACCAGGGAAGGCUGAGUUCCAACUAACACUGUCACCUGUGCUAGCUGGUGUCUCCAUAGGUCAAGAAAAACAGCCCCUUCAGCUCUUUGCUGAAAAAACAGAGAAGCUGGAAGUUAAUGCUUUUUCUCUUUUCCCAUUCCCAGUCUCACUGCCUACCCACUCCCAGCCACCUGGGGCAAAUAAAGCUUCUCUAUUUCACCAAAGAAAAAGCUCCUCUGGAAACUGGCUCAUAGAACUGACUGCUGUAGAGUUUGGUUCCCCACUUUGCACAUCACACUUAGGUGUGCCUCAGCCUAGCCAUGAACACAAUUACACAAUCCAGGCCCCAGAUGAGUCUCCUGUCCUGGACCACUAGAAGCCUGUAAGCAGGAAGUCAGGUCCCUGGCUUUGCUCCUGUGGGCUUCUUCUGCUUGCUCUCCCACCUCAGUGGAAGGGGCUAUCCCUGCCUUCAUCACUGCUCUGUGUCUGACCUCUCACCUCUUCAAAGCUUGUUUCUCUCCAAAACCUUCAUCUUCUCUCUUUGCACCGUUCUCAUUUUGUAUAUAGACUUCCUCAAGUCUUUCCAUCUCCUCCAGAAAUAAAACAAGAAAUUUAGGAGUUCCUGUCGUGGCAUAGCAGAAAUGAAUCUGACUAGGAUCCAUGAGGUUGUGGGUUCGAUCCCUGGCUUCUCUCAGUGGAUUAAGGAUCCAGCAUUGCCAUGAGCUGGGGUGCAGGUCACAGAUGUGGCUCGGAUCUGAUGUUGCUGUGGCUGUGGCACAGGCCAGAAGCUGUAGCUGUGAUUGGAUCCCUAGCCUGGAAACCUCCAUAGGCCAUGUGUGUGGCCCUAAAAAACAAAACAAAAAUUAAAAAAAAUAUAUCUUGACCCGAUGGCACACACAUACAAAAAAAAAAAAAGUGCCUCAAAGUAAAAUAUAAUGUGAACCCUCCUCCAGGAAUGAACUCACAUCCUUCUUUCUUCUUUAAAUAUUGCAAGUGGGAUUGGCUAAGCAGGAACAGUGUUUUAGGGAGGGGCUGGGGUGGGAGCAUAGAGGGUUCAAUGUGAGGAGUACAGUGAAGUGAGUAGGGGGUAUUUUCUUCCUUCUCCUCCUCCUAUAGAGGGGUACAGAAAAGGGUCAGUCUCCUGAACCUGAGAGCUCCGGGGCCACACAGCCCAGAGUGAGCUCUGAGCCAGCCCUGUUGUCUGUCCCCAUGGUGGCUCAGCACUGACACACCUUUGUCCUCUUCCGUUUCAACUCCUGGGCCUCCACAGAAAGCCACCCUGACCCUAGCAAGCCCCCUUAUUCACAGCCUCUCUGUCUUCAGUUUAGUUUUUCGACCAUCCCCAUGGAUUUCAACCCUGGAUUAUAGCCCACCUUCCCAAUGGUCCACCCCCUCUCACCUCAACCAAUUUCAUGUUCCACAGCCUACCCUGAUCUAUGGAAACCUUUCUCACUGUGGUCCCCAAUGAUCAUGUUGUUGCUUAAUUCAAUUCAUCUUCUCUGGGCUUUUUAUUCUUGAAUUCUCUAUAAUAUCCAAUGCUGACUUUAUCUUUUCUUGAAACUUUUCCUCCUUGGCUCCCAUGAAAUUACUUGCUUUUGCCCUUCUUUCUACCUCCCAGGUCAUUUAAUCUCAGUCUCCCUAGUUGUCAUCUCUUAUUUCCUUAACUAUUAGAGUUUCCCAAGAUUCUUGUCUUCUCCCUCUACUCCACCUUCUCCCUCUCCAUCCUUGAGUGAUUGUAUUCACCCCUGUGGUCUCAAUCACCACCUAUAGAACACCAGCUUCCAAAGCUACAUCUUUUAUCAGUCUCUUCUGAGUUCCUAAGCCAUCUUCCCCCUAAAUAUAUGUUAGACAUCCAGUAAGAGACUUCACAUUCAAUACAUUCAAAACUGAACUCCAAAUCUUUCUCCUUCCACCUUAGCCUUAGGCUUUCUUGCUUCCUCCUCCUGUGAUCUGAACUUGUAUUAAUGAUACUGUGUUGGAGACCUGGGUGCCUUCUGGAACUCCUCCCUUUCUGCCACUAACCCGCUUUUCUUCUGUGGGUUAAAACCUCAUGUCUUGAGGUUCAACGUGCACUGACUGAGGCUACGCCCUUUAUCAUUGUCUAGGUGAUGAAAGCACCUCCUAAAAUGUCCCAUGGCUCUUUCUAAUGCCCUACUCUCUCCCCACUCCCUGGAUAUUCUCCUCACUAUUACUAGAUAGCUUUUGUUUCUAACGAGAUGAUCAUCUCAUCCCCUUGCUCAAAGUCCUUUAGUAGAGGCUUCACACAAACUUCAACAGAAAAGCCAAAUCCUUCAUCAUGAAUUAUAAGGCUUUUAUCAUCUGCUCGUGCUUCCCUUUCCAGCCUACUUUCAUCACUCCCAACUCAGUCCUCCUGCUAUAGCAACAGGGAGUUAUAUUCUCAUAACCAAGAGAAUAUUCUAGUACCAUAAAUAAAUAAAUACAUCAUUAAAUAGGAGAUAGAAAAAGCUUCCCUUCCCUUAAAAAAUAUCAGCUUAACUCCAGACAUGUUUCUUCCAACACUAGAUUGUGUGAUCAUUAAGGCGGUAGUGGAUUGUGCCUUGUUCGGUAAAUGGAUGAAGCAAAAAUUUAAAGAGAGAAAAUAAAUGGAAAAAUGAGAGAGAAAGAGGUGAAAGCACAAGAGAAAGAAAGAAGAGAAAAGGGAAGCAAAAGAAAGAAUAAAAGGAAAGAAAGGAAGGAAAGAAAGAAAAGGAAGGGAGGGAGAGAGAAAGGAGGAAAGAGGGAAGGAAGGAAUGAUGAAAGUGAAGGAAGGAAGGAUGGACAGAGGGAGGGAGGAAAGAAGGACAGGCUGUCCUUAAACGCACAGUCUUAGAAUUGCUUUUGAACCACAUUUUGCUCUUGGCCUGUCUCUGUCUGUCUUAGAAAUACCGAAAGCCCCUAAAGCUUACCAUAUAAUUUUUUAAGUCAAGUAACUUAAUAAAAGAAUUUUUAUUUGAGAGACGGAAAAAAAAUAUUUGCCCUUAAGCAUCUAAGAAUCUUUCAGGAAAGUAAGCAUCUAAGCAUUUGCAGAUAGCUGGGGAUUUCUUUAAGAAAAGGAAUUGAGCAGAAUUAUUAGCUUUGUGUCUCAUUAAUAUUUAAACCAGGUAUAUCUCUAGCAAACAGGAGAGAGAACAUUAAAGUUCCCUGGUCUUCUAAUUGAAUAUUCUAAGUAUCCUAGACUCCCAAUCUAGGCAGAAGCAGGAGCCUGGAGUACGAACUGCUGCAAAAUGAAACAGUGGCGUUGAGUUCCUUUCUUCCAGGUUCCUUAUCUAUAACUCACACCAUGUGAGAGCCUUUUCCCUUUGUCUCUGAAGCUUCUCUUUCCCCCAGUUUAUAUGCAGGGCAGGACAUCCUGGAUAAUGGGGAAGGGAUUUGAGCACCAAGGUGUCCAGGAAAAUCCCCCAUCACUAAAAGGCCUGCCAUUAGAUGCUGCCAGCUCAUUUGUAAAGAUCAGAGGGACUUCCUAGGAGAAAUUCCAUGGCCUAAGGUGAAAAUCCUUGGGAUCAAGAUAAUGUGUUCUCUUUCCCAAGAACAGUCAUGAAAUUUGAGAGCUCCUGAGCUGAUGUCGGGAGAGGAAACAUUACAUUUUUGACCUUUAAAAGCCUUGGCCAGAAAUGUAUACUUUUGCAAGGUUUGAUUUGUUGCACUGCUUCUCUCUUGUUUAUGAGGAAGAAGUAGAGAUGAAAGUUCACUGAGUGAACCAUAAUCAGUGUGGUGAAACCAGGCUGCCAGUGGAAUUUCAGAGAGUGAAUGACCCAAGUGAAGGAGGGGAAUGGCUGGCAGGAGCCUUGUGAUGUCAUUGGGACAGAAAGUACUGUGGACUUGACUCUGCAGGCAGUGAGAAAAUUGCAAGAUUUUCCAAAGUAAAAUAGAUCUAAUUUUAGGAAGGGGAUUCUGGCAGCAGGAGAUCAGUUAGAAGGUCUUGGCAAUAAUUCAGAGUAGGUAAAAUAGAGUCCAAAUUUAAGCAGCAAAAAUGAAGAGUAGUGGUGAAAAGAUGAAUGAGAAAAAGGGAGAAAAUAAGUUAGAGAAAUAGUUAUGGUAAUAGGAGAUCUUUUCCCCUAAUUCACCUGACUCCAACCAAGUUGUCUAAUUUCACUAGCUACUCUCUGACUUUACAAGCAUGCAGGGUGGCACAUCUUUUAUACUCUCUGCAAAUCUGUGCAUUUAAAGCAGAACUUCUCACCAGCAUUGCCCAUUAGCAGUACCUUUGGAGCCUUUUAACAUUAAUGAUUCCUGGGCACUGGGCCACUUUCUCUCCUUGUUGCCAAUUCUGUUAGGUACCCUUGGUCAACAAAAUCACUGCUUUAAAAUGAAAUUACAUCAACAAAUACAUGCUGCAGACAUUAAAAAGAUGAACACUUCUUAAUGCUUCAGUGGCCUCGCCACACCAUGCCUUUUUAAAUUGUCCCAAUGCAAAAAGUAAGCAAGAUAUUUACCUGUUAAAAUAUUUGAAAUGCACUUUCUGUUUUAUGGUUAUUUAUAGUCUUCCACUGACUGCUUAUGAUACACUCCAGGUGUCAUAAUUAGCUUGGAAAUCAGUCUUAUCAAAACAGUAAAGAGGCUGAUGUCAGUCAGCAUUGUGGUGGCAUGAAGGACUCUUUUUGUCUCUACCUUUCAAUCUACAACUAGUAAAA